AUUGAACGCUGGCGGCAGGCUUAACACAUGCAAGUCGAGCGGGGACUUCGGUCCUAGCGGCGGACGGGUGAGUAAUACUUGGGAAUCUACCUAGUAGUGGGGGACAACGGUUCGAAAGGAACGCUAAUACCGCAUACGCCCUACGGGGGAAAGGGGGGGAUCUUCGGACCUCUCGCUAUUAGAUGAGCCCAAGUCGGAUUAGCUAGUUGGUGGGGUAAAGGCCUACCAAGGCGACGAUCCGUAGCUGGUCUGAGAGGAUGAUCAGCCACACUGGAACUGAGACACGGUCCAGACUCCUACGGGAGGCAGCAGUGGGGAAUAUUGGACAAUGGGCGAAAGCCCGAUCCAGCCAUGCCGCGUGUGUGAAGAAGGCCUUCGGGUUGUAAAGCACUUUAAGCGAGGAGGAAGGGUUCUUAAUUAAUACUUAAGAGCAUUGACGUUACUCGCAGAAUAAGCACCGGCUAACUCUGUGCCAGCAGCCGCGGUAAUACAGAGGGUGCAAGCGUUAAUCGGAAUUACUGGGCGUAAAGCGCGCGUAGGCGGUUGUAUAAGUUGGAUGUGAAAUCCCUGGGCUUAACCUAGGCACUGCAUUCAAAACUGUACAGCUAGAGUGUAGGAGAGGAAGGUAGAAUUCCAGGUGUAGCGGUGAAAUGCGUAGAGAUCUGGAGGAAUACCGAUGGCGAAGGCAGCCUUCUGGCCUAACACUGACGCUGAGGUGCGAAAGCAUGGGGAGCAAACAGGAUUAGAUACCCUGGUAGUCCAUGCCGUAAACGAUGUCUACUAGCCGGUGGGGGACUUGAUCCUUUAGUGGCGCAGCUAACGCAUUAAGUAGACCGCCUGGGGAGUACGGUCGCAAGACUAAAACUCAAAUGAAUUGACGGGGGCCCGCACAAGCGGUGGAGCAUGUGGUUUAAUUCGAUGCAACGCGAAGAACCUUACCUGGCCUUAACAUGUCUGGAAUCCUGUAGAGAUACGGGAGUGCCUUCGGGAGUCAGAACACAGGUGCUGCAUGGCUGUCGUCAGCUCGUGUCGUGAGAUGUUGGGUUAAGUCCCGCAACGAGCGCAACCCUUGUCCUUAGUUGCCAGCACGUAAUGGUGGGAACUCUAGGGAGACUGCCGGUGACAAACCGGAGGAAGGCGGGGACGACGUCAAGUCAUCAUGGCCCUUACGGCCAGGGCUACACGCGUGCUACAAUGGUCGGUACAGAGGGUUGCUAGCCCGCGAGGGUACGCUAAUCUCACAAAGCCGAUCGUAGUCCGGAUUGGAGUCUGCAACUCGACUCCAUGAAGUCGGAAUCGCUAGUAAUCGCGGAUCAGAAUGCCGCGGUGAAUACGUUCCCGGGCCUCGUACACACUGCCCGUCACACCAUGGGAGUUUGUUGCACCAGAAGUAGUUAGCCUAACCGCAAGGGGGGGGAUUACCACGGUGUGGCCAAUGACUGGGGUG
rnacentral:rRNA from 1 species